UAAAUAGCUCAAGCAGUAGAACAUAAGACUCUUAAUUUCAGGGUUGUGGGUUUGAACCCCAUAUUGGGCAAAA